AGUUUGAUCCUGGCUCAGGACGAACGCUGGCGGCGUGCCUAACACAUGCAAGUCGAGCGAUGAAAAAGAAGUAGAUCCCUUCGGAGUGACGCCUCUUUGGAUUAGCGGCGGACGGGUGAGUAACACGUGAGCAACCUGCCGUACACAUUGGGAUAGCCUCGGGAAACUGGGAUUAAUACCAAACGAAACAUAUUGAUAGCAUUAUCAAAAUGUCAAAGAUUUAUCGGUGUACGAUGGGCUCGCGUCUGAUUAGCUAGUUGGUGAGAUAAAAGCUCACCAAGGCAAUGAUCAGUAGCCGGCCUGAGAGGGUGAUCGGCCACAUUGGGACUGAGACACGGCCCAAACUCCUACGGGAGGCAGCAGUGGGGAAUAUUGCACAAUGGAGGGAACUCUGAUGCAGCGACGCCGCGUGAGCGAAGAAGGAAUUCGUUUCGUAAAGCUCUGUCCUAUGGGAAGAUAAUGACGGUACCAUAGAAGAAAGCCCCGGCUAACUACGUGCCAGCAGCCGCGGUAAUACGUAGGGGGCGAGCGUUGUCCGGAAUUAUUGGGCGUAAAGGGUUCGUAGGCGGUAAUACAUGUCAGAUGUGAAAUCUUGUGGCUUAACCACAUCAAGCAUCUGAAACUGUAUAACUUGAGUGGAGGAGAGGUAAGUGGAAUUCCUAGUGUAGCGGUGAAAUGCGUAGAUAUUAGGAAGAAUACCAGUAGCGAAGGCGACUUACUGGCCUCUAACUGACGCUGAUGAACGAAAGCGUGGGUAGCAAACAGGAUUAGAUACCCUGGUAGUCCACGCCGUAAACGAUGAGUGCUAGGUGUCGGGAGUCAAAUCUCGGUGCCGUAGUAACGCAAUAA
rnacentral:rRNA from 1 species